CGUCCCCGAGGUAGCUGGAGCCGUGCCGUGUCCGUGCUUUCCUUCGUGUCUUGUAUAAUUCUUUCUCAUCUCGAAUACCAACUCGGACGAGGAUAAAGCAUGAGUGUCCGUGUAUCAGUGAGAGCGAGGAGUGAAGAGGAAGGGAAGGCAGAAAUGAGAAAUUAUAAAGAAGAACGUGUGUUGGGUCCUCUUCUCCCCGCUGGCCAAACCGCCAUCCUGCGGACGUUAAUUCAUCGUGUGUGUCUUUCCAGCUGGAAUGGAGUUCAGCGCGGCGCCCUAUGACAUGUGAGGACAGGCAUGCUGGAGAGAGGCUGUCACAGAGGAACAACCUGAUCUCCCAACACUACAUUCCACUCUCACUCUCUGACCUUGGACAAAGGAGGAACUGCCCUCUCACUCUCUUGAAGGUCUGACGGGGAAUGACUUCGUCUGUCACUCAGUGGUGGCUGGUCUUCAUCAGAGAGCUCAGUGUCAAAGAUGUCGGGAUUGUAGCUAACCUUUGGAGGGCAUUAAGAAAAGAGAUUUAAGAGAAGCUGGACUAGACGGAAGAAGACACUGCUCAUGCUGGAACUUGUCUAAAAAAGAAAGAGCGGAGAUGGGCGGGGAGACAAGGUAGCACACGAAGCAGGAGAUUUGAACUUGUGAACUGUCACU